GAGCCAGAAAUUUUGAGAGGAGGAGGGAGAUUUCAGAGUGCUCUAGUAGGACUUGGUAGCUGUCUCUGAUCUAAAUUGUAUCUACUUCCAGAAGAAAAYCUUAAGUUUGAGUGGCAGCUGAAAGAAAGGUUUGUUUUCAAAGUUUCUUUUCUAAGAAAUGAGAGUUGAGACAGAGUGAAGCAAGAGAGUAAAGUGGCAGCGUGCACAGACUAAGAACUGUCAGAGGACACAUUUCCUAGUUGUACCUCCUCCAUAUUGCAGGUUUCUUGUGUGUGGGACUUAGGGACAGAAGCAUGAAGAGGAUCACAACUGCAGCCUGUCUGAGCAGCCCAGAAGUAAAAAAUACAUAUUUUAUCUCUUAAGCAGCUAUCAGUUGAAGAGGGGAACAGAGUUCUUGUUCUAUAGCAGCUUUUCAGACUCUAAUUCUACUUCUGAAGCAUAAAUGGUAAAUGAAAUCCUUGUACAAGAGCCUUAAGCUGAACAUUUUAAAAUCUAUAUGUAAACUAAAACUUCAGAUACAAAUUGUGAAGAUGUUUUUUUACUUUCUUCCUUUAACUGAUUUGAAAUUUUUGCCUUUUCAGGUUAGGGAAGGGCUGUAUGCAGAUAGGAGCGAGUUGCUGUUUAAUUUACAAUUUUUAGUGUGAACUUAAAAUGGAGAGCCCCUACCCAGCUAUAUGUUUCCUGCUUACAGACAGGAUUAGCAGUAUCCCUUUUUGAAAGCCCCUGGUAAAGAGACUGUGCCCUUCUAAGGUUUUGGAGUCAGGGCGGCCAGGGAAGGAAAAAGAAUGGACAUUUGUCUGAGAAAGAGGUCUUUGGUGCAAAACUGUGCAAGCACUGAUUCAUAAUGCUACAUCAAGAUUUGGCAGCGUUAAUGCAUCUUCUGUCUAUUGUGAAACACAGGAAACAUAGCAGUGAAAGCAGGCACUCUGUGCAGGAUGUUGUAGUUAUAAGGUGUUGUAAGUCUACUUUUCCUCUGUGUCUUCCUGGUAUGUGUUCUCUCCCUUUUGUUAAGCAAGUGGAACUGAUAGGAUCUGACAGUGGCAUAUGUUUCAUGUGGCUGUUUUAGUUCAGCAGGUGCACUAGGCUGAAUUACACAUUGUGACCAGCUAAUGAGAUUCAAACAGCAGCGUUUGAAGUGUGCUUCUGAGUAAAAUGAUCAAUAAAUAUUUCUUAUUUAAAAAA